CCCCUCGCGCUGCCCAGCCCAGGGGAGGGGGAGGGGGAGCCGGGACGAGGUGUGCGUGUGUGAGCCGGGGGGGCGGCCGAGGGGGACGAGGAAGGCGAUCCGGUUUGCUGAAGGUCAAAGCCCAGGAGCUUGUUGCGAAGGGGUUCGCAGCGCGCUGCCGCCGCGUCUUCCCCCUCCUUCUCCUCCUCCUCCUCCUCCUCCGCGCUGGCUGCCUUCGCACGACGCAGAGCGAGCGCUGGUAAACAAGAGCCCCGGCGUCGCUCCGCCGCGCCCGCCGCCGCUUCUCCGCUCUGCGGCCGCGCGGGGACGGGGCUCGCGCCCGCCCGCUCCCUCCCGCGCGCGCACGCGCCCUCUUCUCGCGCGGGGGCGCGCGCGCUCAAACACGCUCACCCCCCGGCUCCCCCUCCCCCCUCCUCUCUCCUCGCGGGCUCCCCGCGCUCAGGCGGCGGCGCGCGCGGAGGCGGCGGCGGGGCGCGAGCGGGCGCGAGGCAAAAGCCGGAGCGGCGCGGCGCGGAGCGGAGCGGGGCGGCUGCACCCGGGGCCGGGCUGUGCUGCUCCCGCCGCUCCGGCGGCCGAGCCGACGGGAUGAAGGGGAAAAAGAAGACGGCGACCGAGCCCUGAUGGCCGCAGCGAGCAUCCUGCCGGGGGGACCGGGCGGGAAAGAACGGCGGGAGAGCCAACGAGCGACCCCCUUGCUGGUGCCGACACCUCUGUGUUCCGCAGAAAUGCAAAAUUAAAACGGAAGGGACUGAGUUAGGGGGAAUGAGAAACGCGUCGCUUUGAUUUUCACGUGUUCUGCUUGUUUAUUUACUGCGUUUAAUUUGGAACAGGCUGCCCAGGGAUGUUGUGGAGUCUCCUACUCCGGAGACGUUGAAAACCCCCCUGGACGCCUUUGUGUGUAACCUCGUCUGGGUGUUCCUGAUCCGGCGGGGGGAUUGGGCUCGAUGAUCUUUUGAGGUCCCUUGCGAUCCCUGACAUUCUGUGAUUCUGCUGUCGCUCCUCUGGGUCAAACAGCACGGCUGUAGCACGCAGCUCUUGGGAUGAGAUUUAGGCGGGAGCAAGGGCCGGGACUACCAAGGCUCAGCUUAGCAGAGGGAGCCAACACGUGUCCCCUGCCAUACCAAGGAUCUCCAGUGAAUACUCCCAAUAUUGCCUGGUUUGUGCACAUUUCUCCACUGUUCGCUAGUCUCCUGCAAUGACAUUGCGCACCCUGGCCCCAAAUGUGGGGAGAUGGGAUUAGUUGUAGCAGAAGAGGUUUGGGCUUUUCGGGAUCGGAAACCGUGGGCCGUGUUCCCGCUGUGUCGCCAAAGCUUGUAGUAGCCAUGCUGCACAGCAUAUGGGUGUCCUGAGUAAUCACAGAUUUGUUGUAAUACUUUGGCAUGAGGAGAUAUCAAAAUGAUGCUGAAGUAGAAGAAAGCAGACAUCUGUGAGCAUUAGCUGUGCUCUGGUUCAAAAAAAAACCCCUACAGUAAGAAAUAUGCAAAUGUCACAUUAUUAAUGCAAAUGUCAAAAUUAACUUUUUACAUUUAAACCUGAGUUCUUCUUGAACAUCCUGUAUUACAUGAGGCUUCCAUUAUUUUACUACAUCAUUUUAUACAACCUUACACCUGUUUUUGUAGCUUCUCUGUCCAUUUUUCUACCAUUUGCCUUGUCAGAAUGCUCCAGUAGUGUUGUCUUAGUUACACAUUGUCUCUCAUACCCCUUAGGAAAGAUGAAAAGGCUUUAUUCUGCACCACAGAAGUCAGGGUGAAAAUCAUCACUGAGUACAACGGGGCAGAAUUGCCAGACAUGUACAUGUAUCCAGGACUGUGUCAAUAAUUCAAUAAUAAGUCAAAACAUGGGUGCGUGCCCUUUUCGGUGGUGACACAACUCUCUCAAGAUUCAGUGCAGGAGAAUAAGGCAUUUCUGUAUGAAGCUCUCCUGGACUGCCAUGCAUGUGUCUACCAUCAAUUUUAUCAACUGUGCACUGGCUUUCAAGGCUUCAGUUAAAUUGGACCAGAAAGAUCUUCGUGUCCAGUAAAUUUUUGCUAUUGCUCUGAACAGCUGUGCCUUCUACUAGUGCUGGAUACCCAGCAGAACAAGUGUCCUUUCUACCUGUGUUAUGGCGUUGAUGCAGCAUAAAUUGUAAUGUCUUAUUUACAAAUUAAUGUAUUGUUGUGUAAAGACAGAGCUGAAGUGGGAACUGGGUGCCUUAUCAUUUAUCAUUCUGCUGUCAUAAAGAUCUUUUUUUGUUA